rnacentral:rRNA from 1 species
CAAUAGCGUAUAUUAAAGUUGUUGCAGUUAAAAGCUCGUAGUUGAAUGUCUAUUUUCAGGAGAUGAUUAUAUCAAUUUCUUGGGGAUAUCCGACACUGAGUAUGUUGAGAAUUAAUUUGAUCAGCAUAUGAAUUGUCAUUUUACUUUGAAAAAUUAGAGUGUUUCAGGCAAGCUUCGCGUGAAUAUCUUAGCAUGGAAUAAUGGAAUAUGACUAUUGUUCAUUUUUUUGGUUAUUGAACAAAAGUAAUGAUUAAUAGGGACAGUUGGGGGCAUUAGUAUUUAAUUGUCAGAGGUGAAAUUCUUGGAUUUAUUAAAGACUAACUUAUGCGAAAGCAUUUGCCAAGGAUGUUUUCAUUAAUCAAGAACGAAAGUUAGGGGAUCAAAGAUGAUCAGAUACCAU